rnacentral:rRNA from 1 species
AGGACUAACGCUGGCGGCGUGCCUAACACAUGCAAGUCGAACGAGAGUAGCAAUACUCUAGUGGCAGACGGGUGAGUAACACGUGGUCAACCUACCUUUAAGUGGGGGAUAACUAGCCGAAAGGUUAGCUAAUACCGCAUACGAUCUUCGCGUGGCAUCACAUGAAGAUGAAAGGAGCAAUCCGCUGAAAGACGGGACCGCGUCCCAUUAGCCAGUUGGUGGGUAACGGCCUACCAAAGCAACGAUGGGUAGCUGGCUUGAGAGAGCGACCAGCCACACUGGGACUGAGACACGGCCCAGACUCCUACGGGAGGCAGCAGUGAGGAAUUUUCCGCAAUGGGCGAAAGCCUGACGGAGCGACGCCGCGUGUGGGAUGAAGGCCUUCGGGUCGUAAACCACUGUCGAAGGGAAGAUAUUGACGGUACCCUUGGAGGAAGCCCGGCUAACUACGCGCCAGCAGCCGC